UCCACGCAGUAAACGAUGAAUGUUAGUCGUCGGGGGCCUAGUGUCUUCGGUGAUGCAGCUAACGCAUUAGACAUUCCGCCUGGGGAGUACGGUCGCAAGAUUAAAACUCAAAGGAAUAGACGGGGACCCGCACAAGUGGUGGAGCAUGUGGUUUAAUUCGAAGCAACGCGAAGAACCUUACCUAGCCUUGACAUAUAUGGAUUAGCCCUGUGAAAGCAGGGUGACAACUCUCG
rnacentral:rRNA from 1 species